ensembl:antisense Mypopos Myb-related transcription factor, partner of profilin, opposite strand
AGCAGGGAGAGGGGUUGCAGGCAGGAGCUUGGACAAGGGUAGAUUUCACGGAGACUUCCAGCGGCCCCGCCUCUUUCGUGUAGGGAAACCUUUCCUCCUUUUGUGUGGGGACACCUCAAACUCACUACUGAACGGAGUUCGUCAUCCACCCCUGCCUCAGAAGAUGGCAGCUCCAUCGUCCAGGUGCUGGGGCUGAAAUAAAACUCCAUCAUCCCUCAUUCUUUUCCUAUCCUGGAGUUGGACCAAAGAUUCAUUCGGGUUAUGUAAGCUCUACCACCUAAGGAGUCGUCGUGCUACCUGCUGUUUUCCCAGUCCAGGGAUGGGACUCCAGUAGGCAGGGGCUCUACCACUGAGCCACGCCCCCAGCCCCUCAUUGGGGGAUUCUAGGCAGGAGCUCUACCACUGAGCCACGCCCCCAGC